GUUGAGUGCGCUGCUAUACAUGCAGUCGAGCGGACAGAAGGGAGCUUGCUCCCGGAUGUUAGCGGCGGACGGGUGAGUAACACGUGGGUAACCUGCCUGUAAGACUGGGAUAACUCCGGGAAACCGGAGCUAAUACCGGAUAGUUCCUUGAACCGCAUGGUUCAAGGAUGAAAGACGGUUUCGGCUGUCACUUACAGAUGGACCCGCGGCGCAUUAGCUAGUUGGUGAGGUAACGGCUCACCAAGGCGACGAUGCGUAGCCGACCUGAGAGGGUGAUCGGCCACACUGGGACUGAGACACGGCCCAGACUCCUACGGGAGGCAGCAGUAGGGAAUCUUCCGCAAUGGACGAAAGUCUGACGGAGCAACGCCGCGUGAGUGAUGAAGGUUUUCGGAUCGUAAAGCUCUGUUGUUAGGGAAGAACAAGUGCAAGAGUAACUGCUUGCACCUUGACGGUACCUAACCAGAAAGCCACGGCUAACUACGUGCCAGCAGCCGCGGUAAUACGUAGGUGGCAAGCGUUGUCCGGAAUUAUUGGGCGUAAAGGGCUCGCAGGCGGUUUCUUAAGUCUGAUGUGAAAGCCCCCGGCUCAACCGGGGAGGGUCAUUGGAAACUGGGAAACUUGAGUGCAGAAGAGGAGAGUGGAAUUCCACGUGUAGCGGUGAAAUGCGUAGAGAUGUGGAGGAACACCAGUGGCGAAGGCGACUCUCUGGUCUGUAACUGACGCUGAGGAGCGAAAGCGUGGGGAGCGAACAGGAUUAGAUACCCUGGUAGUCCACGCCGUAAACGAUGAGUGCUAAGUGUUAGGGGGUUUCCGCCCCUUAGUGCUGCAGCUAACGCAUUAAGCACUCCGCCUGGGGAGUACGGUCGCAAGACUGAAACUCAAAGGAAUUGACGGGGGCCCGCACAAGCGGUGGAGCAUGUGGUUUAAUUUCGAAGCAACGCGAAGAACCUUACCAGGUCUUGGACAUCCUCUGACAA
rnacentral:rRNA from 1 species